rnacentral:rRNA from 1 species
UGUAAGCGUAUACCAAAGUUGUUGCAGUUAAAACGCUCGUAGUCGGAAUUUGGCAGUUCCGGAUGUGUGCACGUCGUGUGCGCACUUCGCGGGGAUUGCUUUUGUGGUCUUGCGUAGGAUGAGGCACUUUUAUUAGUGAACGUCCUCACGCAACCACUUUUUACUGUGAGAAAAUCAGAGUGCUCAAAGCAGGCAUUUGCCGUGAAUGUAUUAGCAUGGAAUAAUAGAAUAGGACUCGGUUCUAUUUUGUUGGUUUGUUGGGACUGAGUAAUGAUUAAGAGGGACAGUUGGGGGCAUUUGUAUUUCGGCGCUAGAGGUGAAAUUCUUAGAUUGCCGAAAGACAAACUGCUGCGAAAGCGUCUGCCAAGGAUGUUUUCAUUGG